UACGGAGGGUGCGAGCGUUGUCCGGAAUCACUGGGCGGAAAGGGCGCGUAGGCGGCCUGCUAAGUAGGGGGUGAAAUCCUGCGGCUUAACCGCAGGGCUGCCUUCUAAACUGUCAGGCUUGAGCACAGUAGAGGCAGGUGGAAUUCCCGGUGUAGCGGUGGAAUGCGUAGAGAUCGGGAAGAACAUCAGUGGCGAAGGCGGCCUGCUGGGCUGUUGCUGACGCUGAGGCGCGACAGCGUGGGGAGCAAACAGG
rnacentral:rRNA from 1 species